CAAUGACACAACGUGGGCCAGGAUUUGAACCAGCAACCUUCCAAUGAAAAGUGACCUCAGAUGUGAUAAACAUGACCCCUAAGGUCAUGACCUUAGAACUUAGACCAUUAGAACUUCUACUUUAUGGACGUUUGGUUCCACAUCUACUCAUUCGGAUAAGCACUAAAACCACAGAGACCUGGAUUCUUGGCUUUUUUUCUUAUCUUUAUUGAAACGUAGCGGCCCUGACACGGAUAAAAGAGUCAACGCUGUCUUUUCUCCGCCUCGUUCCUCAAUGUUUCCCUUUCUCGGCUAUAAAAAAAUAGCUGUUGAAUUUGAAGAUGUCUGUAUAAAGGCACGGAGACGGUCGUGACCGGGCUUCCUGUUUACUCUGCAAGGCCAAGUCUGAUUACUUUUCCCACUGUUUGCCUCCAUGACAACGACACUCUCCGCCUGUCAGACAAAGCUCAGGGAGAACGAGCUCAGAGGACCACAGAGGGGAAAACAACAGCUCGGAAAUAGUUCCCUUGAAACUGAAAAAAAAAAAAACAUAAAAGAUCUCAGAAAUGAUCGGAAUGAAUUGUAGUUCAUUUCUUUUUUUU